UAGAGAGCAAAAUUCCAAAGUGGAAACAUUCAAUAAUUCAAUUCAACAAGCUUUCAUGUAGGGCCUAUCAUAUGACAGACUUAGCACUGGGGAUACAAAGACUAAAAUACAAGUCUCUGCCCUCAAGGAAUUUAUAUUGUGUAGGGAAUGCAACAUGUACAAAAACAAGUUGAAACAAGAUAUACACAAAGUAAACAUAAAAUUAUUUCAGGAAGGGGAAAACAUUAACAAUUAGAGGGAUCACGAAAGGCCACAGGUAGGAGGUGGCACCUAAGUCUUGAAAGAAUAAAGGUUUUUAAGAACAGAGCUAAGAAGGAAGUGUACUGAAGUCAUGGUGGAUAGUCUAUGCAAAGGCUGAGAGGUGGCAGAUACAAAGACGUGCACAAGGAGUAACAAGGAUGGACAGAACACAGAAUGCAUGAGUAAGAGUAAUGUGAAAUAAAUCUGGUAAGGUAGACAGGAAACAUUGUGAAAGGAUUUAAAUGGCAAAUAGAAAACUCUGUAUUUCAUCCUAGAGGCAAUAGACACUGAGGAUUCCUGAAUGGGGAGUGGCAUGGUCAGAAAUGUGCUUUAGGAAGAUUACUUGGGCAGGUGUAUAGAUGACUGACUGGAAGAAGGGGGAGAAAAGAAGCAGGGAGACUGCCAAAUUAUGAAGCUAUUGCAAUUGUCUGUAUGAGGUGAUGAAGGCAUCAACAUGGGCACUAACUGUUAUCAGCGAAGACCUGGGGACAGACCUGAGAGAGGCAGUGAAGGUAUAGUCAGUAAGAUUUACAAACUCACUAUAUAUGGGGAUAGAAGGAGAGUGAAAAAUAAUAGGUGACUAUGAAGGCUUAAACUUGAGUGACUAGUAGGACUGUGGUGACCUCAAAAGAAAAAGGCAAGUUAAAAGGAGAAAGGAGCCACAUUUGUAACCAUCUAUUUACAAACAUAGCCUUUAAAAGUUUAAUAGAAGACUUUUUUUAAAAAAAAAUUACUAGUUUAGAUCUUUACUCCUUUUGCAGUAGGAAUAUGCUCUGAUUAAGUAACUUUCCCAAGGUCACAGACUUAUUAAGUGCGUGAGAUUACAUAUGAACCCAAGUCUUCUGACUCCAAGUUCAGUGAUCUAUUCACUGCACCACCUACCUGCCUCUACUAUCUGAAUUUUACUAAGUUUUACUACACUUUAAACCACUUCUCUGCUCAUUUACUUCUUAUAGAUCCAUAUACAUUUGUUCUAAUAUGAUAAUUUUCCAAUUCCUAUAGUCUUUUACAGCUUAAUUAAAAUUUUCCCUCUUCACUGACCUCUUUAAAUUAAAUCUCUGUCUUAAGGGAAAAGGAGGACUCAGAAGCGCUGCUAUAGACAUCUAUAACUGUCAAGCCAAGGGGCUGAAGCAAAUUCAAAUGAUAUAAACAUAAGUGAGCAAGAAAUGGAGUGGAGAGAAAAGACAACAGGAAUUUGAAAAAGAAAAUUUUCCAGUAAAAGAUACAAGGAAGCA